rnacentral:rRNA from 1 species
UACGAAGGGUGCAAGCGUUAUUCGGAGUUACUGGGCGUAAAGAGCGUGUAGGCGGUCUACUAAGUCAGUUGUUAAAUACCUUGGCUUAACUGAGGAAAGGCGAUUGAAACUGGAAGGCUAGAGUGCAAGAGAGAGAGAUGGAAUUCUCGGAGUAGCGGUAAAAUGCGUAGAUCUCGAGAGGAACACCGGUAGCGAAGGCGGUCUCUUGGCUUGUAACUGACGCUAAAGCGCGAAAGCGUGGGGAG